GCGGGGGUAGCCAAGCCUGGCCAACGGCGCAGGACUUAAGAUUCUGUCCCUAGCGGUUCAAGGGUUCAAAUCCCUUCCCCCGCACCA
rnacentral:tRNA from 1 species